AAAAUGUAAUUAUUGGUUUAAAAGCUUUUUUGUUAAGAAAAUUAUUUAAAAAACUCACUUUGCUUUUAGCUGCAGCUACAUAAAUUUUCUACAUAUAUAACACACAUGUACCAUAAUAUCGUACUAUAGUACAUUAAUAUUUUUACUCUUUGCGCUACUCUUUCUGUACUCACAAGCGAAGAUGUCCGAACGACCGAAGCGAGUUGCCUCGAAACCAUCACGAUACGUCACGACGUCGGAUGAGGCUCCUCGGAAGCGGAAAAAGGUCAACGCCCCAGCAAUCAGCGCUGAAGAUGUCCAGGGUGACGUCCAGGACAUAAGGAUGAGUCUUCAAAACAAUCCUAAUUAUUUUAAUAAUAAUAAUAACAAUAAUUAUUCAACACAUUCAUCAUCGCACAUAUACAUUCCACCAGACCAAAACAUUCAAUCAAACAUUCAGUCACCCGUAGCCGUGCAAUCAAACACUCAAUCGGACACGAACAAUCAAAUACAUAUGCGCACUGAAUCAUACAUAAACCUUCAACCAAGCUCAUUAUCAUCUCAUAACACUCACGCAUUACAAGCAACACAAUCACUCACACAAAACUCACUAUCUCAUAGCACUCACGCGUUACACGCGACACAAUCAUUCCACACAAAACUCACAAUCUCAUAACACUCACGCAUUACCACCACUCACACAAAAUUAUGAUGCACCUCGCGUCGAAAGGCUAAGCUACGCCGAUAAUAAUUUUGUAGAAUUGCAGAACCAACGUGGAAAUUCCAGGGAUGUAUCUUCUCGAAAUUGGGACAACGAUAUUGGAGGAGCGACGGCAUAUGAUUAUCCAUCAAUACCACAUUCAUCAUCGGCACAUCAUUUGACGCAAUUAGAAAAGCCGGACAAUCAACGAGUAAAUUCCACCAUGGAAAAAAUUUUGAGAUGCGUCCAGGAUCACCAUCGCGCACCACAGAAGCCGGCCAUCUUCCCUAUACGAUCACUUCCAGACAUGGAUGCGUUUGAAGGAAGCAACGAGGAUGAAUAUUCCAAUGCCGUAAAUUAUUUCCGACACAUUGGCGGCUUUAAUUUAAGAGAAGCUGUAAAUAUCUGCCUGAAGGAAAGUUUGAAGGAUGCCAUCGCACCGUCGUUUACAUGGUGGGGCCGUCAAGAACAUCGACCACUAUGUAACACUCGUCUGAUUAGGGCGAUUUACGAUGGUGUAUGUCAAAACAAAAAUUUCGAGAAACCGACGCGCUCCGAAUUCCAAGCGCAAAUGCGCGAGGCUUUGAGAAUGUCCAAGGAGAGACAUAGGAGCAGAUCGCGCAAGAAGACCGUUCCUCACGGUGACGGCGCAAGGAUUCAGCGUACUUUACGGGACGACGAGCGAUCGAACGAAAGCGGAGACAUGGAAUCUAUUAACGACGACGAGCAGGCAUAA